CAGUAGCCGCGGUAAUACGAAGGGGGCUAGCGUUGUUCGGAUUUACUGGGCGUAAAGGGCGCGUAGGCGGACUGGUAAGUCAGGGGUGAAAUCCCAAGGCUCAACCUUGGAACUGCCUUUGAUACUGUUUGUCUUGAGUUCGAGAGAGGUAAGUGGAACUGCGAGUGUAGGGGUGAAAUUCGUAGAUAUUCGCAAGAACACCAGUGGCGAAGGCGGCUUACUGGCUCGAAACUGACGCUGAGGCGCGAAAGCGUGGGGAGCAAACAGGAUUAGAUACCCCCGUAGUCCCUGUCUCUUAUAC
rnacentral:rRNA from 1 species